rnacentral:lncRNA from 1 species
AUACAAAGUGAUUAUACUGGCAGUAAAUAUUUCAAAAAUGCAUUUUUCUGAGGAAACUGUAGUAAAUAUAUUUUAGGAAAAUGUAUCCAGGCCAGGUGCGGAGGAUCACGCCUGCAAUCCCAGCACUUUGGGAGGCCGAGGCUGCAGUGAGCCAAGAUUGUGCCAUUGUACUCCAGCCUGGGCAACAAGGGGAGGGGAAGGGAGGGGAGGAGGAAAGAGGGAGGGGGAGGGGGAGACAGGAAAGAGGGAAGGGAAGGAAGGAAGGAAGGAAGGAAGGAAGGAAGGAAGGAAGGAAGGAAGGAAGGAAGCAAGCAAGCAAGCAGGCAAGCAAGCAAGGUUGGUUAUCCUAACACUAGCCUAGUAAAAUAUGCAUUACUGAAUUACUGAGUGUUUAAGAUGUAUACUAAAUUGAAUCCUCUUAAUACUUUUUCAAGGUACAUUACUUUUUUUAUUGUGGUAAAAUACGCAUAAAAUUUGCCAUGUUAACCUUUUCAAAGUGUGCCGUUCAGUGACUUUAAGCACAUUUGCACUGCUGUGCAACCAUCAGCACCAUCCAUCUCCAGAUGGUUUUCAUCUUCUCAAUCAAAAUACAUUUUAGUCCUCAUUUUCCAGAUACAGAAACAGACCAGAAAAGGGUAAGAUGCCAAUCCGGGUCUAUGAGAUUCCAAAACUUGAAACACUUCUUCAAUACACUUCAACAUUCAAGUUGCUAUACAAUGACAUAAAAGUAGCGUAGGGACAAGCUAAAGAAAACAUUUGUAUUUAAUUAUAUUAUAAUCAAUUACACAGACUUAAACUUCUAAAAAAUCUAAUUCAACUGUUUCACUUUAUAAUUAAGGUUAUGUUUCUCUAAGUUCACACUGCUAGUCUUCUGUUUAAAUUAAUUCUGGAAUGCACAAAGAGUUUUCUAUUAAAGAACUGAAAGGCAAAGAAAAAAACUUAAAAUUUGUGUCCAUGCCUCCUUGCAAUAGAACUCUACUGCCUCCAUUAAGCACUGUUGUCUAUUUUCCCCACCCUUCCCAUCUUGGCUGGCCUUGUGACUUGCUUUGACCAACAGAAAGCAGCAGAAACA